UAAAUGUUAACAGGCCGCCUGCGGGAAGCUAGGGGUUCACAUGUCUGCUGCAACCUGUCCAAAGAAAGCAGGACGCUGCCAUUCUGACUCCCAGCAGCUGCUCAGGGAGACCAGGGGCCCUGAGGGGGGGUCUGCUGUAGCUGCUAACGGAAAGUCUGCACUGAGAGGAAACCGCAGGAACAUGCAUGUGGCCAAUCAGAUAAUCUGUGCAACGAUCGUCUGCCAUGUAACUACGAACACGUGUGAUCACUACUGUGUCUCCAGGCUACCAGCUGACAACUUUUCAUCAAACCUUGGAGUGAGAUUUUGCAAUAAUUUGAACAGGCAACCCAGUCAGGGUUCGAUUGAAAGGCUCUGCGCUGCAGCUAAAGGUUGGAGGCUUUCAGACCAUUUAAAUGAAACUGGCAAAAUGUGGAAUUUUUCAAAGCGCAGUAAAUGUUUCUGAAUAAAAAUAAGUGAUCUGUAGUUAUGUGGAACAUUUUCACACAAAAUACAUUAUUUUCUAGAUUCUGGUGAUUUUCAGAGAGUUGAACUAAAAGUAUGGGCCCCACUAAAUACUAGCAUCUACUGUGAAUAAGAACUUCACAACUGUGUUUGUGUCUUCACCCUUAGUCCUCUGGAAACGGAUCACUGAGUCCUCCUGGAAACGGAUCUCUGAGUCCUCCUGGAAACGGAUCACUGAGUCCUCCUGGAAACGGAUCACUGAGUCCCCUGGAAACGGAUCACUGAGUCCUCUGGAAACGGAUCACUGAGUCCUCCGGGAAACGGAUCACUGAGUCCUCCGGGAAACGGAUCACUGAGUCCUCUGGAAACGGAUCACUGAGUCCUCUGGAAACGGAUCACUGAGUCCUCUGGAAACGGAUCACUGAGUCCCCUGGAAACGGAUCACUGAGUCCUCUGGAAACGGAUCACUGAGUCCUCUGGAAACGGAUCACUGAGUCCUCUGGAAACGGAUCACUGAGUCCUCUGGAAACGGAUCACUGAGUCCCCUGGAAACGGAUCACUGAGUCCUCUGGAAACGGAUCACUGAGUCUUCCGGGAAACGGAUCACUAAGUCCUCUGGAAACGGAUCUCUGAGUCCUCCUGGAAACGGAUCACUGAGUCCUCUGGAAACGGAUCACUGAGUCCUCUGGAAACGGAUCACUGAGUCCUCUGGAAACGGAUCACUGAGUCCUCUGGAAACGGAUCACUGAGUCCUCUGGAAACG